rnacentral:SRP_RNA from 2 species
GCCAGGCGUGGUGGCUCACGCCUGUAAUCCCAGCACUUUAGGAGGCCGAGGUGGGCGGAUCACCUGAGGUCAGGAGUUCAAGACCAGCCUGGCCAACAUGGUGAAACCCCGUCUCUA